GGACUACCCGGGUAUCUAAUCCCGUUCGCUCCCCUGGCUUUCGCGCCUCAGCGUCAGCAGGGACCCAGCGGACCGCUUUCGCCACCGGCGUUCCUUCCGAUAUCAACGCAUUUCACCGCUCCACCGGAAGUUCCGUCCGCCCCUAUCCCCCUCCAGCUCCCUAGUAUCCGAGGCCCUUUUCCGGUUGGGCCGAAAGAUUUCACCCCGGACUCGGGGAGCCGCCUACGCGCCCUUUAAGCCCAGUGAUUCCGAACAACGUUCGCACGGUUCGUCUUACCGCGGCGGCUGGCAC
rnacentral:rRNA from 1 species